AUACAACAGGUGUAGUAGACCUCACAGUGAAAUGCUGAAUACAACAGGUGUAGUAGACCUCACAGUGAAAUGCUGAAUACAACAGGUGUAGUAGACCUUACAGUGAAAUGCUGAAUACAACAGGUGUAGUAGACCUCACAGUGAAAUGCUGAAUACAACAGGUGUAGUAGACCUCACAGUGAAAUGCUGAAUACAACAGGUGUAGUAUACCUCACAGUGAAAUGCUGAAUACAACAGGUGUAGUAGACCUUACAGUGAAAUGCUGAAUACAACAGGUGUAGUAGACCUCACAGUGAAAUGCUGAAUACAACAGGUGUAGUAGACCUAACAGUGAAAUGCUGAAUACAACAGGUGUAGUAGACCUUACAGUGAAAUGCUGAAUACAACAGGUGUAGUAGACCUCACAGUGAAAUGCUGAAUACAACAGGUGUAAUAGACCUUACAGUGAAAUGCUGAAUACAACAGGUGUAGUAGACCUCACAGUGAAAUGCUGAAUACAACAGGUAUAUCGACCUAACAGUGAAAUGCUGAAUACAACAGGUGUAGUAGACCUUACAGUGAAAUGCUGAAUACAACAGGUGUAGUAGACCUCACAGUGAAAUGCUGAAUACAACAGGUGUAGUAGACCUCACAGUGAAAUGCUAAAUACAACAGGUGUAGUAGACCUCACAGUGAAAUGCUGAAUACAACAGGUGUAGUAGACCUCACAGUGAAAUGCUGAAUACAACAGGUGUAGUAGACCUCACAGUGAAAUGCUGAAUACAACAGGUGUAGUAGACCUCACAGUGAAAUGCUGAAUACAACAGGUGUAGUAGACCUCACAGUGAAAUGCUGAAUACAACAGGUGUAGUAGACCUCACAGUGAAAUGCUGAAUACAACAGGUGUAGUAGACCUCACAGUGAAAUGCUGAAUACAACAGGUGUAGUAGACCUCACAGUGAAAUGCUGAAU